GUUGCUUUGUGUCAGAUGCUUGUCCAACAGCAAUGACUCUGUGCUCCCCAUAUGCCUCCCUUCAGCAUGAGUUUCCUUACUGCGUGCUCAGGGACUUGCUCUGCACUAACAGGAAGGACUGAUCCUCUGCCCAGUUCUGGUCAAUCUGCAGGUGCAUACUCAGGCAUCUUUGCAGCACUGAAUACGUGGAGUGCAGCACAACUUUGGCUUGUGCUCAGAAUCCCUGGCCAUCGGCAGAAGACACGCAUAAUUUGGAAGCACUUUCUUAAAAACUCACAUUUAAAUGCGUCGGCCUGGAAGCAUCCAAUGAGCUUAGAAGCUGUGGCUGAGGAGGAUGGAUGUGCACGCAUGAGGCUGGGAACUCAGCAGUCUCAUUCCCUUUGGAAAACUGGCUGCAACCAGAAGGCUAGGGAAGAUGGGAGAAAAAUCUGCCUUGAAAACAAAUGAUAUGCCGUGUCUUUGGAACCACACAGAAAACACAGCGAGCAAGUGCCAUGCCUGGUGAUACAGGUGUGAAAUAGUGCUAGAGGAAUACGUGAAGCUGUUAGUGUGCAACUUGAGCUCAUUUUCUGUGUAAGGACAACAGUAAGAGGAUCGCCCACUGGUACAGCUGCUGGGAAGAGGCGAUGAGCUACUGCAGAAUAAGCUGCAGUGGUGUAGCGUUAAGUCAGAUCUGCUCUGAACAGGGCCAGGUAGCACUGCACCACAAGCUAAAGGAGCCCUAUCUACACUAGGAUUCAUCCUUUGUACUGUUGUUAGCAACAGAAAGUUUUUGCUGGAAAAAAUAAAAUCAACAAAGGCACCUUCUAGAAUUGUAUC
rnacentral:lncRNA from 1 species